UACAUAGGGUGCAAGCGUUGCUCGGAAUUAUUGGGCGUAAAGCGCACGUAGGCGGUUCGUUAAGUCAGAUGUGAAAGCCCCCGGCUCAACCGGGGGAGUGCAUCUGAAACUGGCGAGCUAGAGUACGAAAGAGGGUCGCGGAAUUCCCGGUGUAGAGGUGAAAUUCGUAGAUAUCGGGAGGAACACCGGUGGCGAAGGCGGCGACCUGGGUCGAUACUGACGCUGAGGUGCGAAAGCGUGGGGAGCAAACAGG
rnacentral:rRNA from 1 species